rnacentral:tRNA from 1 species
GAUGUGGCUUAGUGGUAGAGCACUUGCACAGCAUGCAUGAGGGCCUUGGGUUCAAUCCCCAGCAUC